GCUUGAUUGGCUCAGUCAGUUAAGCAUCCGACUUCGGCUCAGGUCAUGAUCUCAUGGUUCGUGAGUUUGAUCCCCACAUCAGGCU
rfam:Felis catus isolate Cinnamon breed Abyssinian chromosome B4, whole genome shotgun sequence.